ACAAUCAAGCGCCAUAAAAAAUUUGGCCAUGAUAAAGUGUGUCCCCAAAGCAAGUGAAUCAGCGUCAGCUAUUUCCGGAGGAGUUUGUAGGAAGCCCCCAAAAGAAGUCCCCAGUGAGGAUGAAAUUGUUUUCAGGCGGUUCUGUCUUUCUCUUGCAAUGCAAACAUUUAUGCCUCCAUUCACUGGUCCCCAAAUCAGAUACAAUCAAGGAUCUAACAUGUACUCUCUUGCCUCCUGUGAAGGUUUUCACAAUGAAAGCAGAUCACCUCUGUAUGCAGAGGCUGGGAAACCAUUCUCGUAGUCAGAGGACAGAAGCGCAUGACUACAGCUGACUAACUGGGAAGUGGGAGUCCCGUCUGGAUCUCCAUAUCAGACUGAAGGACAAGAAGAACAUGGAAAAGCUUGACCGUGCUCUAAUUCUUGGAAGUGCUCCAUUUAAAUUCAAAUGAUCUUUUUUGCUGCCUGCCCACCAUUGGUUCCACCUGUAAUUUUUUUUUUUUUUUUUGGUUGUUUGUUUGUCUCCCCUCUCCCUCAAACUGCUUUGAAAUGGAGCUUGUUGAAGAUAAGAUUUGUCAUUUUCUAUAGCGUGAGUUUGGUCAAGUGAAACUUCCGAGAGUUUUCAGGAAAUGAUUCAAAAUUGUUAGUUGGGGUUCUUCCUCACCUAUGAAGAGCUAUGCUUAUUUAAGGACCAAAGAAAAGUAAGCCUUGAUUUCCUGUGAGAUUAAGAAGAAGGAUUGGUGAAGAUAAACGACCUAGAAGAAAGUUCUCUUCGCUGGCAUAAAACUCUGGCAAGAAUGAGAAGCCCAGCAUGGGGUGCUUGCCUUUUGGAACCCAGCCACCAUGUUAUGAAGAAGGGAAAGGCCACACGUAAGGGUUCCAGUGAAGAGUCCCAGCUAAAAUCCCAGGCAUCAUCAACCUCCAGACAUGUGCAUGAACAAGGCUUCCAAUGAUUCCAACCUUCAGCCUUGAGCGUUCCAGACAUCGUGGAGCAGAGAUAGGCUGUGACCAUUCAGUCCUGACCAACUUCCUGACAAACGGAAACCAAAGGAGAUAAUAAGUUAUUCUUGUUUUAAACCACUGAGUUUUGGAGUAAUUUUCUAUGCAAUUAUAACCUACACAUAAAUGGUGAUCUGGGUCAAAAUGGUGUCCAAGAAAUAAUUGGUACAGGAGAAAAAUGCCAGUGGGUCGAUGAGUAAAUGGGUAUUUAAACGGGAGAGGCAACGAGUUUAGGUAACUGUUGAAAAUAUUUUUUAUUUUUGUUAGGGAGACAAGAUAUCUCUACAUCUUGUUUCCCAAAUGGAGAAUAACUAAUAAAAAUAUGGCUCUUAAAAAUA